GAUCCUGGCUCAGGACGAACUCUGNCGGCGUGCUUAACACAUGCAAGUCGAACGAUGAUCCGGUGCUUGCACCGGGGAUUAGUGGCGAACGGGUGAGUAACACGUGAGUAACCUGCCCUUGACUCUGGGAUAAGCCUGGGAAACCGGGUCUAAUACCGGAUACGACCUGUCACCGCAUGGUGGUGGGUGGAAAGAUUUUUUGGUUUUGGAUGGACUCGCGGCCUAUCAGCUUGUUGGUGAGGUAAUGGCUCACCAAGGCGACGACGGGUACCGGCCUGAGAGGGUGACCGGCCACACUUGGACUGAGACACGGCCCAGACUCCUACAGGAGGCAGCAGUGGGGAAUAUUGCACAAUGGGCGAAAGCCUGAUGCAGCGACGCCGCGUGAGGGAUGACGGCCUUCGGGUUGUAAACCUCUUUCAGCAGGGAAGAAGCGAAAGUGACGGUACCUGCAGAAGAAGCGCCGGCUAACUACGUGC
rnacentral:rRNA from 1 species